AUUUUAUUAGUUUAAAUAAAAACAUUAAAUUGCAAAUUUAAAAAUAAUUACUUAUAAAAUU
rnacentral:tRNA from 1 species